rnacentral:pre_miRNA from 1 species
AGGAAAAAGCUACCACGAGAAAAUGAAUGGUAACGAAAAAGACAACAUUGUCUUUUUCGUUACCAUUCAUUUUCUCGUGGUAGCUUUUUCCUUA